rnacentral:rRNA from 1 species
AUGAAUGGCCGCGGUACCCUGACCGUGCUAAGGUAGCGUAAUCAGUUGGCUUUUAAAUGGAGUCAGGAAUGAAUGGAAUAACCGGGUUUAGCUGUCUCCUUCUUAAUUAGUUGAAUUUACUGUUCAAGUGAAAAAGCUUGAAGAAAGAAAAGGGACGAGAAGACCCUUAGAAUUUUUUUUAGUGGGAAGUUUUUUCCUAAUGAUUUUGUUGGGGCGACAUGGAAAUAUAUAAAAACUUUCCUUUAAUACUUGCCGAUUUUGUUAAGAUGGAAUAAAUUACCUGAGGGAUAACAGCAUAAUUCUACAGAUGAGUUUGUG